UUGCUGGACGCGCCCCAGGCGCACCCAGAAACCCUUUGUGAACUUAUACCUUACUGUUGCCUCGGCGCAUGCCGGCCCCCCUGGGGGCCCCUCCUUCGGGAGGAGCAGGCACGCCGGCGGCCAACCUAACUCUUGUUUUUACACUGAAACUCUGAGAAUAAAACAUAAAUGAAUCAAAACUUUCAACAACGGAUCUCUUGGUUCUGGCAUCGAUGAAGAACGCAGCGAAAUGCGAUAAGUAAUGUGAAUUGCAGAAUUCAGUGAAUCAUCGAAUCUUUGAACGCACAUUGCGCCCUCUGGUAUUCCGGAGGGCAUGCCUGUUCGAGCGUCAUUUCAACCCUCAAGCCUGGCUUGGUGAUGGGGCACUGCUUUUACCCAAAAGCAGGCCCUGAAAUUCAGUGGCGAGCUCGCCAGGACCCCGAGCGCAGUAGUUAAACCCUCGCUUUGGAAGGCCCUGGCGGUGCCCUGCCGUUAAACCCCCAACUUCUGAAAAUUUGACCUCGGAUCAGGUAGGAAUACCCGCUGAACUU
rnacentral:rRNA from 1 species